GACAGAGGAUGCAAGCGUUAUCCGGAAUGAUUGGGCGUAAAGCGUCUGUAGGUGGCUUUUUAAGUCUGCCGUCAAAUCCCAGGGCUCAACCCUGGACAGGCGGUGGAAACUACCAAGCUGGAGUACGGUAGGGGCAGAGGGAAUUUCCGGUGGAGCGGUGAAAUGCGCAGAUAUCAGGAGGAACACCGAUGGCGAAGGCAGGUCUCUGGGCCAUAACUGACGCUGAGAAGCGAAAGCAUGGGGAGCGAACAGG
rnacentral:rRNA from 1 species